rnacentral:rRNA from 1 species
UACGUAGGGUGCGAGCGUUAAUCGGAAUUACUGGGCGUAAAGCGUGCGCAGGCGGUUUUGUAAGUCUGACGUGAAAUCCCCGGGCUUAACCUGGGAAUUGCGUUGGAGACUGCAAGGCUGGAGUCUGGCAGAGGGGGGUAGAAUUCCACGUGUAGCAGUGAAAUGCGUAGAGAUGUGGAGGAACACCGAUGGCGAAGGCAGCCCCCUGGGUCAAGACUGACGCUCAUGCACGAAAGGCGUGGGGAGCAAACAGG